UACAGAGGGGCAAGCGUUGUUCGGAAUUACUGGGCGUAAAGGGCGCGUAGGCGGCCUGCUAAGUCGAACGUGAAAUCCCCGGGCUCAACCCGGGAACUGCGUCCGAUACUGGUGGGCUUGAAUUCGGAGAGGGAUGUGGAAUUCCAGGUGUAGCGGUGAAAUGACGUAGAGUAUCUGGAGGAACACCGGUGGCGAAGGCGGCAUCCUGGACCGACAUUGACGCUGAGGCGCGAAAGCCAGGGGAGCAAAGCGGG
rnacentral:rRNA from 1 species